GGGGGGAGUCUGCGCUACCAUGCAGGCGAGCGGGAAGUAUCUUCGGAUAUGAGUAGAGCGGCGGACGGGUGAUUAACGGGUACGACUCUACCUAGUACAAGGGGAUAGCCCGGGGAAACUCGGAUUAAUACGGUAUACCUCCUAAGGGAGAAGGAGGGCCUCUCUUGAUGCUCUCGCUAUUAGAUGAGCCUGCCUAAGAUUAUCUUGUUGGUAAGGUGAUGGCUUACCAUGGCUACGAUCUUUAACUGGUCGGAGAGGACUAUCAGCCUCAUUGGGACUGAGACACGGCCUUUCACUCCUACGGGAGGCAUCAGUGGGGAAUAUUGGACAGUGGGCGCAAGCCUGAUCCAGCCGUACCGCGUGUGUGAAGAAGGCCUUCGGGUUGUAAAGUACUUUAACCUUGGAGAAAAUGUUAUAAGUUAAUACCUUAUAACCGUGAUGUUACCUGCAUAAUAAGCACCGGCUAAGUCCGUGCCCGCAGCCGCGGUAAUACGGAAGGUGCAAGCGUUAAUCUGAAUUACUGGGCGUAAAGCGCGCGUAUGUGGUUUGUUAAGUUGGAUGUGAAAGCCCUGGGUUCAACCUAUGAACUGCAUCCGAAACUAUCUCCCUAUAGUACCAUAGAGGGAGGUAUAAUUCAUAGUGUGGCGGUGGACUGCGUAAAUCUUAUGAAUAAUACCCUUGGCGAAGGCGGCCUCCUGGAUCUGUACUGACACUGAGGUGCGAACGCUUGGGUACCUUACCGGAUUACAUACCCUGGUCAUCCACGCCGUAGAGGAUGACCACGAUCUGUUGGGAGACUAUGUCUUUCAGUGGCGCAGCUUACGUGUUAAUUUGUCCGCCUGAGGAGUACU
rnacentral:rRNA from 1 species